CGCGGUAUAUUGACCGUGCGAAGGUAGCAUAAUCAAUAGUUCUUUAAUUGAGGACUGGAAUGAAGGGUCGGACGAGAAGUAAGCUGUCUCUAAAAUAAAUCUUGAAGUUUACUUUUAAGUGAAAAGGCUUAAAUAAGAUAAAGGGACGAUAAGACCCUAUAAAACUUUACAGAUUACAUCUAAAAUUUGUUUGAAAUUAUGUGUAAAUUCGUUUUAGUGUAGCUGUUUUGUUGGGGCGACAGAGAUAUAAUUAAUUAACUGUUUUUGGUGAUUAAAAUAAUACUAAUUAGUUAAUUUGAUCCAUUAAUAAGGAUUAAAAGAUUAAGUUACUUUAGGGAUAACAGCGUAAUUUCUCUUGAGAGUUCUAAUCGACAGAGUUAGUUGCGACCUCGAUGUUGAAUUAAGGUGUUAGCUAGGCG
rnacentral:rRNA from 1 species